AAUCAACGCUGGCGGCGUGCCUCAGACAUGCAAGUCGAACGAUUAAAGCUCUCUUCGGAGAGUGUAUAGAGUGGCGCACGGGUGAGUAACACGUAAGUAAUCUACCCUCGAGUGGGGAAUAACAACCGGAAACGGUUGCUAAUACCGCAUAAUGCAGCGGCACCGCAAGGUGACAGUUGUUAAAGAUUUAUCGCUUGAGGAGGAGCUUGCGGCAGAUUAGCUAGUUGGUAGGGUAACGGCUUAUCAAGGCUACGAUCUGUAACCGGUCUAAGAGGACGGUCGGUCACACUGACACUGAAUAACGGGUCAGACUCCUACGGGAGGCAGCAGUCGGGAAUUUUGGGCAAUGGGCGAAAGCCUGACCCAGCAACGCCGCGUGAAGGAUGAAGUAUUUCGGUAUGUAAACUUCGAAAGAAUAGGAAGAAUUAAUGACGGUACUAUUUAUAAGGUCCGGCUAACUACGUGCCAGCAGCCGCGGUAAUGUAUCGU
rnacentral:rRNA from 1 species